CAGUCAGCGCAAGUGACACAGUGGCCACGAGGUGGCGCCGUCGGCAUUAUAAACGCUGGGCUGUGCCUGGUGCUCUCCGGUUAGAGGGCGGCGCAGGUUUGCUGAUGGUGACACAUAGCUUUCAAUAAUGAAUUCAGAGAUCCCAGGGAGGCCUGUGGGCUUCGGGGCCUCGUUGGAUGAAGGUUGCUGGCCUACAAAUGCUUGUCCAGAGGAAACUACAGGAUCCGAUACCCACAUUAACCGGAGCCUCUUAGCAUUUCUAUGGAGCUGAGACCGUGGUUGUUGUAGAGGAAAUCUUUUUCUGUUGCAUACAGGCACACACCUAAACUGCUACCGAUAUAGCUGCAAAGACUAAGCGCUGGCUCAUGAGCACUGCAGCUGACACCUCAUGACAGAGUCGAUAUUACUAACAUGGUUUUACUAAUAGCACAUGCAGGUAUAGAGACAUUAACAGCAGCGUUACAAACACCAGCAUUAGCGGCUGUGUAUAGUUGUCUCAGGAUGCAUUUGCAGAACCAGCCUGAACUCAAAUAAAAUAGCUUAAUUAAGUCAUGCAGGAACCUCAUUUGUGGUGCUCUUGGAAUGAAAAAAAAAUACACCUAAAAUCUCAAAGCAACACACUGUGAACUGUUUUCAUCGAAACUAUUUCCAAGGUAGCUCCACUGAAAGGUGUACACAGGCCUGUCGAUU